rnacentral:rRNA from 1 species
UACAGAGGUCCCGAGCGUUGUUCGGAUUCACUGGGCGUAAAGGGUGCGUAGGUGGUGAGGUAAGUCGGAUGUGAAAGCUCGGAGCUCAACUCCGAAAUGGCAUUGGAAACUACCUUGCUAGAGGGUUGGAGGGGGGACUGGAAUACUUGGUGUAGCAGUGAAAUGCGUAGAUAUCAAGUGGAACACCAGUGGCGAAGGCGAGUCUCUGGACAUUUCCUGACGCUGAGGCACGAAAGCCAGGGGAGCAAACGGG